GACGAACCGUACGAACGUUAUUCGGAAUCACUGGGCUUAAAGGGUGCGUAGGCGGUGUGGAAAGUUGGGUGUGAAAUACCUCGGCUUAACCGAGGAACUGCAUUCAAAACUACCAUGCUAGAGGGAGACAGAGGUGAGCGGAACUUAGGGUGGAGCGGUGAAAUGCGUUGAGAUCGGAAGGAACGCCGGUGGCGAAAGCGGCGGGCUGGACCUCUUCUGACGCUGAUGCGCGAAAGCGUGGGGAGCAAACAGG
rnacentral:rRNA from 1 species